GAUGAAGAACGCAGCGAAAUGCGAUAAGUAAUGUGAAUUGCAGAAUUCAGUGAAUCAUCGAAUCUUUGAACGCACAUUGCGCCCCUUGGUAUUCCGAGGGGCAUGCCUGUUCGAGCGUCAUUAUAACCCCUCAAGCUCAGCUUGGUGUUGGGGCCUGCUGCACUGGCAGCCCUUAAAAUCAGUGGCGGCGCCAUCUGGCUCUAAGCGUAGUAAUUCUUCUCGCUAUGGAGUCCUGGUGGAUGCUUGCCAUCAACCCCCAAUUUUUCUAUGGUUGACCUCGGAUCAGGUAGGGAUACCCGCUGAACUUAAGCAUAUCGAUAAGCGGAGGA
rnacentral:misc_RNA from 1 species